CCCGCUAACUCUAAUAAAAAACAUGUAAUCGUAUUUAUUUUCCUUCCGUUUAGUCAGAGGCGCUGAUGUCGGCAUUGUGAUUGGUGGAACAUGACUUUUGACAAAUCGUGCGCUAUCUGUGAAUCUGUAAUCUGUGUUCGUGUUCGUUCGUUCGUUGUCGUUCACUUAUUUUAUAUGGUCGGUUAUGAUGUGAUGUGUUUGGUGUUUGUGUUUGUGCCACCAUAAAAAGCUGAUAUUCAGUCGUGUUUUUUGAUAUUUUUGUUAUUUCAUAAUCGAGUACCUUUUUAAAGGUAAGUUUUUCUGAUUGUAGGUACUGUUUAUCCAACAGUUUUAAAAUACACAUUUUAUUUCGCGUUUUGUUGUUGGGUCUAAUGGCCGAUCAGCUGUUGUGUGCAGCCGAUAAAUUCAACAAGUAAACAUAUAUUUAAUCGAAAUUAAAUACUAAUAUUUCUAUGUAAAAUGUCACAUUAUUGUAUAAAUAAAUAAUUAAGAAACAAAAGUUGUUUGUGUUUUACCUUUAUUGGCCACUUUAAUAAAAUAAUAUUAAAUAUUGGAAGUACCGUAUGGAGGCUAUGGUGUACCUAGCGUGGAGGCUAGAUAACGCUACCCCUCCUAUCCAAUCAACAGCAAGAACGUUUAAAAUUUCACACCUAUCAUGUCGAAGCUACAGACCACUUAUGUGGAGGCCAGAUUUGUAGUAUCCUUCCAAUUUCCCAGGUGCUGAAAUACGUGACAUAUUUUUUGAAGGGUAAGAUCGCAUUCUACCAAAUCAGACAACACUUUUUUCUAUGCUUGACUGUGAGCUGUGGUGUCGAAUAGAUAUAUCAUAUAGAAUGGCGGAUGAUUUCCUCCAACUUAUUUUAUCACAUAAGAAAUUUAACGUAAAGUAAAAAGUUACCACCAGGGAUUGUCUGGAGUGAGGAGACAUGUGGGUGACAACUCCUGUUGGAGUAUAAAUAGGAAUCAUUCGCCAUUUGGGAGAAACCCUACCAUGAAGUCAUAGACCUUAUUUGACCACCUAGAGAAACCACUACAGCCACAGUCAAGUCAUCAUGGGAAUACGUCUUUUUGGGAACAAGCUAUGGGAGCGUUCCAGCUCAAUUUUCGUCUUGGCACCUGGGCCUACAGGAGUCAUGGGGUCGCACCAUCCUGGUGCAUCAUUUUCUAGGAUGUAACCGCAACCUCGUUUGGGAACAUUUAGUGAGGUGUUUUAGUAACUAUUGGUUUUUUUUUAUAUUUCAGACUAUCUGUUAAAUACACUAUGUUUUUUUUUCCAGAUUUAGGUUACCUCUGGUUUUUUUUUGACAUAUUUGUAUAUUAGAUUAUUUGGUUCCCAAACUUUGUAUCUACGGUAACUUCUUGUGCACAGGAAUAAGCCUAGAGAAAAUUAGGUUUUUAAUACUUUAUUAUUGCUUUGAUAUUGGUUUAUGUAAUUCGGGUAAAUUUAUAUUUUAAUAUUACUAGCUUGUUUCCCAAAUAUUUUACUGUUAUUCGCUUUAUUCCGUUUGUUCGGUUAAUUUAGGUCAUCGUCGGUAUUUAUCUCAACUUCAUUUCUACUUUAUUCAUUGUAUAUCUAACUUUGCUUAAUUCAUUUAGUAUUUUCCCUUAGUUAGGCUCAUGCCUAUUUACAUAUAUUUAUUUAUAUUACUUUUAAUAUUCAUCGGUUUUCCUUUAGUUGUACGUAGCAGGCGUACUAUCACCAUUUGGUAGAAGACUUAUGUAAUUUUGUACCCUAUAUGUUAGUGAAAGGUAUUUAUACCUGUAAUUUUGUAACAGGUAACAUUGUUGUUAUCUUAGGUUGAACAUAACUUUUGCAAACUUUUGUCAUGUUAGAGUCACAUAAUAUGAACUUGUUUAACUCAGAGAUUGUUAAAAAUCUGGUAGUUCAUUUUAAUAAAUGUUUAUUUAUUUUGUA
rnacentral:lncRNA from 1 species